AGCUGUCUUCGGGGCGGGGUGUGAUUCCCCACCGGCGGUAAUGCGGUUUUUGGCCGUUAGCCCGCGAGCAUGUGCUGAUUUUGGUGAGAUUCCAAAGCCGACGGUAUAGUCCGGAUGGAAGAAGAACUGCG
rnacentral:ncRNA from 1 species